rfam:Setaria italica strain Yugu1 chromosome VI, whole genome shotgun sequence.
AAUUUAUGAUGUGGAACUGCACAGACAUAGUCAUUAAAGUGUUGAUAGGCUUCAACAAUAGUUUCAGAAGCAUACUGAGCAAAAGCAGCUAUCUUGCUCCUCAGAUU